rnacentral:rRNA from 1 species
GAUGAACGCUGGCGGCGUGCCUAAUACAUGCAAGUCGAGCGAACGGACGAUAAGCUCGCUUCUUUGCUGUUAGCGGCUGACGGGCGAGUAACACGUGGAUAACCAUCUUCUAUUUCUGGGGUAAUUUCGGGAAACCGGAUCCAAUAAUAGCUCAUAUUUUGAACCGCUUGGAUCAAAAGUGAAUGACGGUCUUCCUGUCACUUAUAGAUGGUUCCGCGCUGCAUUAGCUAGUUGGUAAGGUAACGGCUAACCAAGGCAACGAUGCAUAGCCGACCUGAGAGGGUGAUCAGCCACACUGGAACUGAGACACGGUCCAGACUCCUACGGGAGGCAGCAGUAGGGAAUCUUCCGCAAUGGGCGCAAGCCUGACGCAGCAACACCGCGUGAGUGAUGAAGGUCUUCGGAUCGUAAAGCUCUUUUAUUGGGGAAGAACAUAUGUAUAAGUAAAUGUCGCCAUCUUGACGGUACCUAAACAGAAAGCAACGGCUAACUACGUG